rnacentral:ncRNA from 1 species
AACAAAAUACAGGGGAGCUCGUGACGCGGGCUGAGAGGAAGUACCCGAACUUCGACCCUUUUACCUGAUGCGGAUAAUGCCGCCGUAGGAAGUCAUAGGGUGUAUGAG